rnacentral:rRNA from 1 species
AUGAAAACUAAUCUUAGCGGAGCUCGUCUGGUUGUGCUCCCCGCUUGCCCGGCUCCGCACUGGCCAUGUCCGGCGGACAACUGUGCUCCUCAGAGUGUUGAGACUGCCGUGGACCUGCGGUGCACGAGCUGGAGGACGGCGGGGGAGGCCAACAACCUGGCGCCAUGGGCCGUCGUGCCGCAGGACUGCGUGUCGCACGUGCACGCAUACCUCACUGGCCCCGCCUACCGCUUCGACCUCGACCUCGUCGCGGGUAGGCCUCCGCCUACGCCCGCGCCGCCGCCGCCACCGGCGCCUGGGUCUUCGACAUCGACGAGACGCUGCUCUCCAACCUUCCCUACUACGCGCAGCACGGAUACGGGUGGGCGACCCACGUUGUCACAUUCCGAGAUCGCGGGCCUGCUAUUAACGCACACGGUUAAUUUGUUGUUUGAUUGCAGGCUGGAGCUGUUCGACCACCGGGAGUUCGACCGGUGGGUGGAGACGGGGGAGGCGCCGGUGAUCCCCUCCAGCCUCCGCCUCUACAGGGAGGUCCGCGACCUCGGCUUCAAGACCUUCCUGCUCACCAGCCGCAGCGAGGCCCACGAGGGUAGAAAGAGCUGCCGUGGACCUGCUAUGUAUGCCAUCAUAAAAGCCUUCUGUGUUGCUUUUGUCAUGACAUUCUUCUUUGUAUUUGCCGCUGUGCCAGUCAACUGGAAUAACCUUGCAGUUUGGUUCCGCAGAGUGGACCAGUUUGACACGAUUGACUUGUCGGACUACGAGAUUGUCAAGCUUGACAACUUCCCUUUCAUGAAUCGCCCAGCGAGCCCGCACCUGAUUACAACUUACAAUGAGAGGGAGCAGGUGACGCCCAGGGAGCUCAACAUCCGAGUCCCGGCCAUCCUUCACAGCAAGGACGAGGACGGCGUCAAGGGCUGCCGCGUCGCCGGAGCCGUCAACAACUACACCUCCCAGCUCCUCACCUACGGAUCAUCAUCACAAUCGCCAUCUUGUAAAUCUUCCCGCCAAUAUAACCUGACGGAAGCGCUCUUGUUUCUCUCACAUUUCAUCGGCGACAUCCACAAGAUUGAUGAAGAAUCCGUCUGGGGACGAGCCACCGACACCCACGAUGAUGCAGUUGCGUCGCCCGAACUGAUGCCCCAUACUGGGCGCCAGAGGAUGCGCCUUACCGACGACUGCCGCAUCCGGUGCCCGGUGCCUUGCACGGCGGGCACGCCGUGCCAUGGCCUCGUGGGACGAUGGUGCAUCCCAAAUAUCGGGGCGCCAACGGAGGUGUUGCAUGUCCGUCAGCGCGUUCGGGCGUCAGGCGGACCGCACGGCCUCCGGCGAGGCAGCUACGACUGGCCUAGCGCCGGAUCCAUGCGCUAUUUGGGCAGAUGCAAUGGAUUCUCGACGGAUGGAGUCCGAGCGCAGCCGUGCACGGGCCUCCUCCAGGGCAUGGUGGAGCGUAAGGUGGACGGUCAUCUCCUCCUCGGUCCCGUAUGUGAUGAGUUCAGGGUCGACGGAUCUAGAGCGGAAGGACUCAGAUCCGCUGCCCGUCAUGCCAGAUCCAGCCGAAAGAAGCCAAAGAUGAGCAUGGAUGGCGGAGGGGAUUGGAUGGAAGGGAAGUGA